rnacentral:rRNA from 1 species
UAGGGAAUCUUCCACAAUGGACGCAAGUCUGAUGGAGCAACGCCGCGUGAGUGAAGAAGGUUUUCGGAUCGUAAAGCUCUGUUGUUGGUGAAGAAGGAUAGAGGUAGUAACUGGCCUUUAUUUGACGGUAAUCAACCAGAAAGUCACGGCUAACUACGUGCCAGCAGCCGCGGUAAUACGUAGGUGGCAAGCGUUGUCCGGAUUUAUUGGGCGUAAAGCGAGCGCAGGCGGAAGAAUAAGUCUGAUGUGAAAGCCCUCGGCUUAACCGAGGAACUGCAUCGGAAACUGUUUUUCUUGAGUGCAGAAGAGGAGAGUGGAACUCCAUGUGUAGCGGUGGAAUGCGUAGAUAUAUGGAAGAACACCAGUGGCGAAGGCGGCUCUCUGGUCUGCAACUGACGCUGAGGCUCGAAAGCAUGGGUAGCGAACA